rnacentral:rRNA from 1 species
GUAGGGAAUAUUGGGCAAUGGAGGCAACUCUGACCCAGCCAUGCCGCGUGCAGGAUGACGGCCCUCUGGGUUGUAAACUGCUUUUAUACGGUAAGAAAAAAUACUACGUGUAGUAUACUGACGGUACCGUAAGAAUAAGGAUCGGCUAACUCCGUGCCAGCAGCCGCGGUAAUACGGAGGAUCCAAGCGUUGUCCGGAUUUAUUGGGUUUAAAGGGUGCGUAGGCGGAUCUUUAAGUCAGUGGUGAAAGCCUGCAGCUUAACUGUAGAAUUGCCAUUGAAACUGAAGAUCUUGAAUGUGGUUAAAGUAGGCGGAAUGUAUCAUGUAGCGGUGAAAUGCUUAGAUAUGAUACAGAACACCGAUAGCGAAGGCAGCUUGCUGAACCAUUAUUGACGCUGCGGCACGAAAGCGUGGGGAGCGAACAGGAUUAGAUACCCGAGUAGUCC